ACUUGUUAUGUGAUCAAGCUCUAUGUGACUAGUGAAAACCGUAUCCCAAUAUUUGUUAAUUAUAUUACAUUCCUAUUUAAAUUUCGAUCAAAUCAAAUGGUUUGUUAUCUACUAUCAAGUGUUUUUCAAGUGAAGCAUAUCAAUGGAUUAUUUUGUGUGUAACAGGUAAUUUUGUUAUGCCUGCUGCCAAAUCCAAAAACUCUUAGCAACUUGUCACUUAGAGAUUCCAUCAUGCUUUUCUAUUGCUCAUUAGGAGCUCGUUAAACUAAAAUCGAAAAGGAUGCUGACUUGCAAUCUUCUUGUCAUUUCCACUGAGCCGGUCAAGUGGCAUGAUUUAGUUUUGAGGGUUGAGCUCGUAAACUGAAAGUGCAAAGGAUGCUGGCUCUGAAGG